UAGGGAACUGGAAGGAUGGGAAGUCUCUGUACUGCUGUGCAUGUUGUGCACCCAGGCAGGGAGGGCAGAGGCCUUCCAUAGUCUUCACAAUUGAGGUGUGGAACGAGCAAGUUUGUUACUGUUCUAAAACAAGUCCAGCACAAUCUGUAGCCUGGUUGUUCGGAUCGAUCCAGAAGCUGAUUCCUGAACCCCGUGGGCCAGCCCAGGAACA